ACUAUCCUUGUCUUGGGGUAGUGCUACUGUCCAAUGAACAAAUAGUGAGGGCAGUACUGCUAAUGCCUACACAACACGCCCGCAUCAACUAGAGGUUUUUUGGGGUUUUUUUUGUUUUU
rnacentral:ncRNA from 1 species